AUGUUUUAUGAUGCUAAAUGUCAAAUUAAAAGUCCUGAAACCUUCACCUCUGUACUGUUAAGUCAACACUCAGCUAACCAACCAAUCCGCUGGAAGCUUUUAGCCACACCCCUUUUACAACCUCCUCUAAGCCAGAAGCUGAGUGACACUCAACUUACACACACACACACACACACACUCCACUUGCACACACACUCACGCACACCCACACACACACACACACACACACACACUCCACUUGCACACACACACUCCACUUGCACACACACUCUACUUGCACACACACACACGCAGACGCACACUCCACUUGCACACACACACUCUCUACUUGCACACACACACUCUCUACUUGCACACACACACUCUCUACUUGCACACACACACACUCUACUUAAGCACACACACACUCCACUUGCACGCGCGCGCACACACACACACACACACACUCCACUUGCACACACACACUACUUGCACACACACACUCCACUUGCGCACACACACACUCCACUUGCGCACACACACACACACACUCCACUUGCGCACACACACACACUCCACUUGCACACACACACACACACACACACACUCCACUUGCACACACACACUCCACUUGCACACACACACUCCACUUGCACACACACACACUCCACUUGCACACGAAGACACACAGACUACUUGCACGAACGUACACACACAAGCACACAUACACUCUAUUUGCACACGCACACACACACACACACACACACUCUACUUACACACACACAAGCAAACAUACUCUACUUACACACGCACACACACACAGAUACACACUCAUACGCUUACACACAAGCACUCUUAUGCAUGUGUGCACACACACACAGAUGCACACACACACACACACACACACACACCUAUGCACACACACACUUACACACACACCUAUGCACACACUUACAGAUGCUCAGCCUGCACAGACGUCUACACACACACACUUCUACUGUCUCCAAGAUAUGGGCUUCAACCUCCCAGCAAUGA
rnacentral:lncRNA from 1 species